UGGUUUUCUUUUUCAUAAUAAUGCUGUUUGGGUUGCUGGAAAUGGGAAUAGUCGAACGCUUGCCCAAGCUAACUGUAAACCCAAGCGGCGGCAGCUCGUUUAUAGCUUUCUGUUUUAACAACUCGGCUCCACACAUAACCGCGAGAAGAACAACAAGUAAAAAGGCAUUAAGUUUGGCCGGACCGAACUUUGGAUACCCACCACCUCAACGACGCUGUUGUUUACUUUUGCUGCUUGUCGAGAUGUUGAUGAUGAUGAUGAUGGGGAGGAACCAAAUGAAUAUGGCAAAGGCUACCGGUAUUUGGUUGUAAGUGAAUACAAGAUCACUCUCCCAUUUCAAUUGCUGGAAGGAACUUUACUAGGCCAAUAAAAAAAACUUUCUGCUCUAAUUCCCUGAGUUCCUGACUAUAAAAUUUAUCUUUUAUUUAUGCAGUCACAUACCAUGCGCUCUCAUGUGCUUGCGCAUAAGCGGUUUAACGUCGCCAUAUGUGUCAACUUUGAGUUGAGUAACAUUCCAUUUUUUACUUUUUCUGCUUACAAAUUUCUAAAAAUCUGAUAAUGUAUUUCAUUUCAAACUAUAAUUUCAAUAAAAAUUGUCAAUAAAGCUGUUAAAAAUGAGUGUAAUACAAGAUUUCCUCGAUUCUAUGGACAGAAAAACAUUUUUGGAACAGUAAACAAGUCUAAAUCAUACGUUUUGCGCCCUAAACGCGUUUAAAAGCAAACAGUCGGUUAACUUAAUGCGUCACACGCUUAAUGGCGUUUACCUAAUUAAACUUAAAAUUUGAAAUCAAACUUAAUUUUUGAAAAGCACUUGAGGAUGCGUGGAAAAUUUUAUCAGCUGUUUAUUUUCCUGCGUUGUGUAGUGAAUUCGCAAAAUAUACCAAAAGCGACAGCGUUGAAUUUGGGGUGUUGUAAAUGAAAUCAGAGCAUUUAUUCUCAAUUCGCAGAGGCAAGUCUGAACGAUUUGAAACCGCAAAAUGUUUGCCAUUUUCGAUUACCGAAACAUAAAUUAAGGUAGAAAUCGCAAUAAGCUUGCGAUUGCGAUUAUUGGAAUAGGCCUGAUAAACAUUUGACUAAAUUUGCCGACAAAAUGUUCAAUACUGAAAAUUUGUAGUCACCAUUCAUUCUACUGCUCUUUUUGUAUUUAUAUUUGAAAAAAAUCACUGAAAAAUGUUGUAUUCAAGAGAGUUGUCUGACACAAAUGUGUAGUUCUAUUGUAAUUUCUAAAUAAAAGUACGAAAUCUGGCAAAUAAAUAAAUAAUUUCUGCAGAAAAUGUGGUCACAGCUAUGUUGACAAAAUUUGUCAACAUUUUCUUAAAAAAUAAAUUGUUGACAACAUAUUUUGAAGAAAUUGAAAAAAAUUAUAUUUUUUUUCUACAAAUUCUUAAUACAACGGCCGUAAGUACAAGACAACUUCCCACAUGUUCAGCAUAAAACGCGGGUAGUGUUUCUUUUGUGUUUUAUUCUUAA